rnacentral:piRNA from 1 species
AUGUCAAGAAGGAAGGCUUAACCCCCAC